UCUCUUUCUUUCUUUCUUUCUUUCUUUCUUUCUUUUUUUCUUCCUUUUCCUGAGUUAUUCACCAAUCUUUUCACAUUUCCAGGGAUUUAUUGUCUAGAUUCUAUUUCUCUGGUCUCUUGGUGAUCUCUUAUCUUGGCUGAGUGUGGCCAUUCUUUCUUCUGGUUCCCUAUCUCCAUUAGAGUUCAGCUACAUCACUUCUCUGGCCAAGGGGAGCUAAAGUGAUGGAUGGUAUUUCUACUCCUGUGUCAUAAAUCGUCCCAACAUGCUCUGCUUGCUGUCUUUUCCUAAGUACACUGCAAUAAGGAAACCCUUUCAAGGCAGUAGUGAUGAGGACGUCACAGAGAGAAGGAGUUUGGCUGCUAGGGUCACUGCAUGAAGCACAUUUUCUCUUUUAACCCAGACUGAGUCAUGGCAAGCACGGAAUUUUACUGUGUAAGACAUUCAAAGAUUUCAGAUGUUUACAGUGACUCAUCCGUAAUGAUUCAUGUACCAAUUAAGGUAAAGUAUGUUUUGGAUAAUUCUGAGUUGCUAUAAUGUUCUGUGGUAAAAAUUUGGUAGUAUUUAUGGUCUGUCUUCUGGUAAUACUAUAGAAACUUAAAUUAUGAAGGUUUGGAAAGUGCCAAUGGGAAUAAAUGGACACAAUUUCUUAGUUCUGAAUUCCUAUGUUAACCAAUAGAAAAGAGAUAAAACAAGGUUCUUUCACUCAUCUAUUUCCUUGAUGGCAGCAUUUUGGAUAGAAUUUCUUGUCCUCAGUAGCAGGAAGCUCCCUUUGCAUACAAAAUCUAAAGCUAUUCCUGCUAGAGGCAAAUUGAAAAGUCAGGGUCUUAAAGAAAAAGGCAAAAUCUUAGGAAUAAUAGAGUAAAGAUCAUUUGUUAAAGUGGUCUAAAGAAAAUUAAAAUCUGAAGGGAUGAUUACGAGCCAAAAAUCAAAGUCAGCUGUUCUUAUUUCUUAUAUCUCAGUGCCAUUCUGAGAAAGUGCUUGCAGCUCCCUUCCCAUCCUUACAGAUGACUUAUGUCCCAUGUCAUAGCUUAAAUACAAUAAGCCCAGGUCUAAUCUUCUGUCAUCUUCCAUUUAUUCAUCCCUAAGACUCAAAAAAAUUGUCAACACACAAAAUCUACCUUAGGAAGAAGUGUGGAAUGCAUUAGAGGGAGAUUAUAGCUUGCCAAUACAGAAUAUGGAUUUUUGGGUGAGAAAAUGGAUUUUUGAAAACAAAAGAUAUCAGCUCUUUGCUUAAACUCUCCCAGAACAAUGGGUAGAGGCAAAAUUAGCAGCAUUAAUAUCCCCAGAGUGUGCAAGCAAAUUAGAGAACCUGGAGUACAUUGCUUUAAGGUACGUGGAAAUGCUCUGAUGAGAGUGAGAGCAGUACUCCUGGUCAUGGCUGCACAGUAGUCACAAUGAUAUACACAGUGGGUACUCAAUAAAUGCUCGCUGCCACUCUCCUCCUGCCUUCAGGCUGCACAAGGCCUAACACAUUACAGACAGAUGGAGAUCCAAUCUCUGCUGAAUGCUGGUCUCUAAGGAAGGUAAUUUCCAGCCUUCCAGUAACCUGUUUAAAUCUUAACUGCUCCCAUUCCAUUCUCCUGAAGCUUUAUUUUAAAUCCCCCCGGGAGGCACAUUUCUAGAGCGUCUGUCCUGAGAGUCUCUAAGCAGCAGUUUUCAAUUUUAGCUUGUGACUGGGCCAACUUUUCCAGUCUUCUAUUAUGGGAGAGACUUCAGAGUCUCUGGGGACCCAGGGCAAGAGCAGACAUGGUGGAGACCUUUUCACAUCUGCAUAUCUCUUAGCUUCAGCCUUUGUGACUGGUUAAGUGGUCUGAUUGACAUCAGAAGUGACUUCUUGCAAAUCAUGUGGGGGGAAAAACUAUCAGUACACAUGGAUCUUUCUGAAUAGCAACUGAUCUUUUUUAAAGAAUAAAUUCAUCAUAAAAGGAGCCUUUCUCAAACGUUCCCAGCAGCUGUAUUCCCCAUGGAUGAGUUCUUUCUGAAGCCCACCAUCUGCUCCAAUUAUUCCCUCAUUGUUUUGGCUUUAAAGGCAUGACAGGUUUAUCACCACUGUGAAAAACUCCUGGAGUAUAUUUCUUUUCAUCUAGGAAGGGGAGACGGAGGCUCUUGAACAUCAGCAUUUGUUGUAGGUAAAGUUGGCAAAAGAGAGACAGGAUGAAUACAUGUAGAUCUCUCCAUGUAAUAGGUAUCAUGAUAUAUGAGUGUAGACAGACUCAUCACAGAGGCAGCCUCAUUCACAGGAGGGCAGAAAGCAAGCCCUAGUGUGCUGUAUUCAUUCAGCUGAGCUGCAGAAAGGAUCAGCUCCCAUGAUCCCUGCCUCAGGCCACCUCCACACUGUCAGAAACUGUGGAGUUAAGGAUCAAAUGUUAAGCAGGGCCUUACGUUUGCUCACAAAGCACUCUGUUACUGAGCUGGCUCCCCAACCCCCAAAUAUUCCACUCCUUGAAAGGAAUGCAAAUUAACAUUCUUAUGUUCACAUGCAGCUGCUCUCAGAGUGAUUGAUACACACUCCUGUUUUCUCUCAUUGCUACACACAGAAAAUUUGCUGUCAUAGAGGGAUGCUAAAGCGAUCAAAUGGGGGUUGUCUGGUAGACGACUGAGUGAGAAAGCUUCUAGUUUAAAGACGGCUGAAUUAGGAUAAUCUAGCUGCUACUCAAGAAGAAAGAUACGGUUGUCCUCAGAUUAUAUAGACAUGCACCACAAAGCACUCCAAGGGAGCCUCAUUAGAGCAGUACAGUGAGGGUUGAUGCCUUUGACAGCGUGAGACAAACGAUGCCGCCUCGAAGCUAAGCCCUUCAUGAGGCAGUGUGCAAGUGUCUGUUUAAGAGACUACCUCUGACUUGAGAAGAGACAGAUGUGGCCUCUGUGUCACGAGUAACAUAUCGCUGGAUUGAAGCUCCGUUGGCACCUGCAGAAGGGUGCCCAUCUGCAGCUGAGAUGGUAAGGAUGUGGCCCCAUUUGCAGCUGGGAGGGUAAGCAUGUGACCCCAUAGGCCAUGUGAGGGUCUGGUACUUGUCUACACCUGCUUCUGCAGGUCUCAUGGUAAGCAUGUGACCCCAUAGGCCAUGUGAGGGUCUGGUACUUGUCUACACCUGCUUCUGCAGGUCUCAUGGUAAGCAUGUGACCCCAUAGGCCAUGUGAGGGUCUGGUACUUGUCUACACCUGCUUCUGCAGGUCUGAUGGCAAGCAUGUGACCCCAUAGGCCAUGUGAGGGUCUGGUACUUGUCUACACUUGCUUCUGCAGGUCUGAUGGUAAGCAUGUGACCCCAUAGGCCAUGUGAGAGUCUGGUACUUGUCUACACCUGCUUCUGCAGGUCUGAUGGUAAGCAUGUGACCCCAUAGGCCAUGUGAAGGUCUGGUACUUGUCUACACCUGCUUCUGCAGGUCUCAUGGUAAGCAUGUGACUCCAUAGGCCAUGUGAGGGUCUGGUACUUGUCUACGCCUGCUUCUGCAGGUCUGAUGGUAAGCAUGUGACCCCAUAGGCCAUGUGAGGGUCUGGUACUUGUCUACACCUGCUUCUGCAGGUCUGAUGGUAAGCAUGUGACCCCAUAGGCCAUGUGAGGGUCGGGUACUUGUCUACACUUGCUUCUGCAGGUCUGGGAAUUUCUUAGGUCUAGGAUGUCUCGUACUCCUCUGCAUCCCUCCUGGAAACACGCUCCUGUGGGUGAGCAUUCUCUGCUUACUUUUCUUUUGGUCCAGCUUCUUUUUAAAAAAUUGCACAAUGAUGAUAGCAACUUAAAUGUUUUUGACAAGUGCAAUUAGAAUGAUAAAGAUUACAGCUUUUGAUAAGAGCCAUACACACAUUUGCAAAAUAGAUAAUAAGCCUCUUUCAUCUCUUGCGCAUUCUCUCUCAAGGUAUAUGUUAUAAUACCACUUACAAGAUUAAAGGCACAGAGGCUUACUUCACUUCUAUAGCGUAAAGCAUGAUCGUGAGAUUUCAUUAAAACUAUUCACUGUCUCUUACAAUCUUUCUGCCCACAUUGCCAUCCUCCUCCAGGUAGAGAGGAAGGCAGAGGGAGUCUGGUGGAGGAGGAGGCAGACAGUGUCUGGAAUUUGAUAAAAAAAACAUUGCAUACUUACAUGAAAUUCUCAAACAAUAAAUAAAAUCAUAUUUGAAGAAUCAAACUACUCACUGUCAUC